rnacentral:rRNA from 1 species
AUGAGCAAGCUCUUCCACUCCGCCUGCAAGGCCGCCAGGUCCUUGAUCGCAUCCUCCUCCGCUCCGGCCCCGCGCGCCGCCUCCUCCCUCCUCGCAGACGGGAGGAACGCCGCGCUCGCCACCCUCGCCAACCUCGGCAGGAACUCCACCCUCCCCGCCGCAUACGCCCACCACCUCCACACCAACGCCUCCUCCCACGGCUACGCAUGGAUCGCCGCCAUCCCCGCCGCAGCCUACAUGCUCCAGGAUCAGGACGUGCAUGCCGCCGAGAUGGAGCGCACCUUCAUCGCCAUCAAGCCCGACGGCGUCCAGAGAGGCCUCAUUUCUGAGAUAGUGUCCCGAUUCGAGAGAAAAGGAUACAAGCUUGUUGCCAUCAAGCUGGUGGUUCCAUCCAAGCAGUUUGCCGAGAAGCACUACCAUGAUCUCAAGGAAAGACCUUUCUUCAGUGGACUGUGCGACUUCCUCAGCUCCGGUCCCGUGCUUGCCAUGGUAUGGGAAGGAGAGGGCGUUAUCAAGUACGGGAGGAAGCUGAUCGGUGCCACGGACCCAUCGAAAUCUGAGCCAGGAACCAUCAGGGGUGACCUUGCUGUUGUUGUUGGAAGAAACAUCAUCCACGGGAGCGAUGGCCCGGAGACAGCCAAGGACGAGAUCGCACUCUGGUUCCAGCCCAAGGAGCUGGUCUCUUACACCAGCAACGAGGAGAAGUGGAUCUACGGUGUGAACUAA